rnacentral:rRNA from 1 species
AUUGAACGCUGGCGGCAUGCUUUACACAUGCAAGUCGAACGGCAGCACGGGCUUCGGCCUGGUGGCGAGUGGCGAACGGGUGAGUAAUGCAUCGGAACGUGCCCAUGUCGUGGGGGAUAACGUAUCGAAAGGUACGCUAAUACCGCAUACGCCCUGAGGGGGAAAGCGGGGGAUUCUUCGGAACCUCGCGUGAUUGGAGCGGCCGAUGUCGGAUUAGCUAGUUGGUGGGGUAAAGGCUCACCAAGGCGACGAUCCGUAGCGGGUAUGAGAGGAUGAUCCGCGACACUGGGACUGAUACACGGCCCAGACUCCUACGGGAGGCAGCAGUGGGGAAUUUUGGACAAUGGGCGCAAGCCUGAUCCAGCCAUGCCGCGUGAGUGAAGAAGGCCUUCGGGUUGUAAAGCUCUUUCGGCCGGGAAGAAAUCGCACUCUCUAACAUAGGGUGUGGAUGACGGUACCGGACUAAGAAGCACCGGCUAACUACGUGCCAGCCGCCACAGUAACAC